UUGGAGAAGUGGCAAGUCUUCCAGUAUGGGGAGCAAACAGCUAUGGGUCAAGCCCGAUACCUUUAAGAGAAGUCUUAUUGUGAGGGCGAGUUGUAUAACACCAUAGGGCUGGCCGUCCCAUAUGAAAAGAUUUUAUUAGAAUUGAAUGAAACUUUGUUUAUAUAUUGAUAAUGACAGUAUAUAUAUCGUGUCUUGACUAAUUGCGUGCCAGCAGUCGCGGUAAUACGUAAGAGACUAGUGUUAUUCAUCUUAAUUAGGUUUAAAGGGUACCCAGACGGUCUAUAUAGCUUAUAAAAUGUUAGUAUAAGACUAGAGUUUUAUGUAAGAGGGCAGUACUUGAGGAGGAGAGAUGAAAUUUCGUGAUACCAAAGGGACUCUGUAAAGGCGAAGGCAGCCCUCUAUGUAAAAACUGACGUUGAAGGACGAAGGCACAGAGAACAAACAGGAUUAGAUACCCAAGUAGUCUUUGCAGUAAAUGAUGAAUGCCAUAGGUUAGAUCUAUAUUUCUAUUAUAAUAAUACAUUUCUAUUAUUUAUUAUAAAACGCAUUCCUUAUAUAGCUUCGCGCUAUAAUAUAUUUUAUAUAUAGUGCAGCAGAAAUUUUUGUAUCUGGUCUAUAAAUGAAAGUGUAAGCAUUUCACCUCAAGAGUAAUGUGGCAACGCAGGAACUGAAAUCACUAGACCGUUUCUGACACCAGUAGUGAAG
rnacentral:rRNA from 1 species